GGACUGGCUUUAGCUCAGCGGUUACUUCGUCAGAAAGCAAACAAUUCUUGUUUCAACAGCUGGCCACUCCGGGGAAACUCAGAGUGGCUGGUUCGAGGCCCGCGGGCGCUCUCCAGUCCUUUU
rnacentral:vault_RNA from 1 species